UACGUAGGUGGCAAGCGUUGUCCGGAAUUAUUGGGCGUAAAGCGCGCGCAGGCGGCCUUUUAAGUCUGAUGUGAAAGCCCUGGGCUCAACCUGGGAAUUGCACUGGAUACUGGCAGGCUAGAGUGCGGUAGAGGAUGGCGGAAUUCCCGGUGUAGCAGUGAAAUGCGUAGAGAUCGGGAGGAACAUCUGUGGCGAAGGCGGCCAUCUGGACCAGCACUGACACUGAGGCACGAAAGCGUGGGGAGCAAACAGG
rnacentral:rRNA from 1 species